rnacentral:rRNA from 1 species
CCUACGGGUGGCAGCAGUGGGGAAUAUUGCACAAUGGGGGAAACCCUGAUGCAGCAACGCCGCGUGAGUGAAGAAGGCUUUCGGAUUGUAAAGCUCUGUUUGCAGGGAAGAGGAAGGACGGUACCUGCAGAGGAAGCCACGGCUAACUACGUGCCAGCAGCCGCGGUAAUACGUAGGUGGCAAGCGUUGUUCGGAAUAACUGGGCUUAAAGGAUGCGUAGGGGGUUAAACAAGUUAUAGGUUAAAUAUAUAGGCUUAACCUGUAGAAAGCAGAUAAAACUGUUUAACUAGAGUGCAGGAGGGGCAAAUGGAAUGCCUGGUGUAGCGGUGGAAUGCGUAGAUAUUA